CCUACGGGUGGCAGCAGUGGGGAAUAUUGGGCAAUGGGCGCAAGCCUGACCCAGCAACGCCGCGUGAAGGAAGAAGGCUCUCGGGUUGUAAACUUCUUUUAUCAGGGACGAAGCAAGUGACGGUACCUGAUGAAUAAGCCACGGCUAACUACGUGCCAGCAGCCGCGGUAAUACGUAGGUGGGAAGCGUUAUCCGGAUAUACUGGGUAUAAAGGGCGUGUAGGCGGGAAAGCAAGUCAGAUGUGAAAACCAUGGGCUCAACCUGUGGCCUGUAUUUGAAACUGUUUUUCUUGAGUACUGGAGAGGCAGACGGAAUUCCUAGUGUAGCGGUGAAAUGCGUAGAUAUUAGGAGGAACACCAGUGGCGAAGGCGGUCUGCUGGACAGCAACUGACGCUGAGGCGCGAAAGCGUAGGGAGCAAACAGGAUUAGAUACCCGGGUAGUC
rnacentral:rRNA from 1 species